rnacentral:lncRNA from 1 species
UGUCGGCAACUUUGAGGAAUGAUCCCAUUGCGUUUGAAGUAUUAAUAACGAGGGACAUGCAUAAAUCCGCAUCCCCAGGUGCAGCAACAGCGCGUGCCACCGAGCACGACGUAUUAAUAUCCGUCUCAUGUGCGUUAGCUCGAUAUCGUAUUUCUCGGUCAUUCGAUCGGGUGAGUUAGUUCCCCCUUUUCGAAUAUUUUUCGAAGAUACGGAUUUAUAUAAUACGGAUUUUCUAAUUUAUUUAAGAAAAUUAUUAUCGAGUUUGGGGUGGAGGAGAACGUUAUUGAUAAGAGAGACAAGAAUUUUACUCAGAUUGAAUUAUCGACAAUUAAUAUUUUUCAAUCUUGCAACUAUGUCAAAUUCUCUUAAAAAAAUGACAAGUAUCUCAUAUCCAAUAAUUGAUAGCUCACGGUCUGGCUCGUUACACGUGACAAGACUCUAAGCAGUCCUUUCGUAACGGAGUGUGUGCUACGUUAGCGAUGAGUUGGGCGUGACGAGACGUAAUCUCUCGGUUAGAGUCUUGACGUUUGAUUGGCAAAGCAAACAGUGGGAUACUCGUAUGCGUGGGCGUACAAAUGCACAGUAAGAUCUAUGCGUUGGGAUCUUCUUCGAUCGUAAUCGGUGGGAUCCCAACGGGUAUGAAGAAUUAAUAUUUAAGAAAAAAAAAAGACAAAGGUCAUAUAAAG